AGUCCGAUGGUGUAAUGGUAGCACAGGAGAUUCUGAUUCUCCUUGUCUAGGUUCGAAUCCUAGUCGGACUACCA
rnacentral:tRNA from 1 species